CACAAGAGAGAAAGACAGAGAGAGUGAAAGGGAGAAGGAGAGUGAAAAACAGUUUUGAGCGGUUUUGAUCAAGUGAUCAAUCGAAUAUCGAUCUAUUAUCUGAUCGAUCUGAAAUUUUGUGGAGAUCUUCUACACUCCUUGUUCUUGAUUCUUUUCGGUUGGAUUUUGAUUUCAACGGUUAGAAUUAAAGAAACAUAGAUUUUACCAAAAUUGUUCAUCCAAGGGUAUCAAACUGCGGCAGGUCUGAUUGCUAUGAAUAUCAGACGGUGGAUUCUUUCCCGAUCGAGGUGAAAUUUGGUUUACACAAGUAAAGGAUUUGGUUACUAAUUCGUGACAUACGAUCGAAGUAACGUAAAAUCCCCUACACAGCGAAAGAACCCAUCCCCUGUUUUUCGCGGCCUCUUCCGCGGUUAACCAAAUCAAGCUUUUCAUGUUUCUCGGUGACGAACAAAGGACAAGUGUUCCUACAAAAGGAAGAUUCACGCAUUGUCACAUAGCUUGUUCAUUGCAUUUAGAAGGUGAUAUAUUAAAACUACCCUAGAAAACCGAAAGCCCCAUAAUAACUAAUAAGGGCAUUUUUUUAUAAAGGCUCUAUUUAGAUGCCCAUUGAGUAAUUUUGUCGAACACCUUGUGGCGGCACAAAGUUUGGUGUCCGAGACCUAAUCUGUUACCAACUCCGGCACAUCAUCCUCUGUAAGUACAAAUUCCCUUUCCUCUUUAACAAGAAUCACCUGCAACUCACUAUCUCUACAACGAUGCCCAAAAAAAUACUUCUCAUCACAUCGGAAACAGAUCCCUUUCUUCCUCUUUUCAUCCAGAUCUGAGUCGGUGAUUCAGCGAACCGACUGAGGUUUCGCAGCAAGGACAAAAGAGUUGGACCCAUAAGAUGUUGGGCCAGAGGGAAUAGGCACAAAAGCCUCAGCCCAUUCCAGCGUUGUGGCCCACUCGAGCCCGAGGGUGGCAAGGAAAUCGUGCGAAACGGAUUUCCUGAAGUUGAAAAUCCCGAUUUGUUGCUGCGGUGGUCACCGAUCUUGCCGCCAAGUGUCCCGAUCGGCUUGCUGUCCAAUUUCAGGGCGAGGGCAAUUGUUCGCUCGAGCCCCGAUGGUUCGAGAAUCUCCACCAUGUCGACGGGCGAUUUGCCGUGAGGAGCAAAAACCAUCUCAGCACAGGUUGAUCUUUCCUGGGAUUUGUCCAGUGGUUCAUGUUGGGUCAGAAGCUGUUGCAUCAUUUGCUUCAAAACUUGUAUCUGACCAACCUCCUUCUGGAUGCCCACAAUGGUCCCUGCAACUCUUCCACGGAUGAUUGAAACCUUCCUUGCAUCUCACCCAUAGCUGCAUGAAAUCCCCCCUGCAUAUCUCCCAUGGCAGACUCCAUUUUUCCCAGCUUAGAGGGCAUCAAAUCUUCCAACAGUUCAAUGCGAUUAUCCUUAGGAGGCAUAUUUGUAAUAGAAAGAUAUAUUUAAAUAAUAUAAUGCUGCUUGUGUUUCUGAAGAAUCCAAAAGAGAAAUAUAAAUAUCCCAGAAUUAGAGAGGCACACCACUCUCUUUUAUACCCUCACAACUCAAAACAUAAUUCUCGAUACCUAAACCAGCCAAACAGAUGCAUAUCAAUACUAGCCAACCCCCCUGAGGUGGCAUUCCUAAUUAUAGUCUGUUCAUAACAACCUUCCAUCCCAAUUCCCUGCGAGCAUAACAUAAUUAUUCCUCAGCAAUUACUGUUGUCCUGUAGAUGCUGCCUCCACGUCAGACCUCUCCGUCUCAACUCCCUCCUCUUCCUUCUCGUUCUCAAUUACUUCCUUAACCCUGGCCGUCUCCUUCUUUCCUCUGUUCCUCCUGCGAUAUAUUUGGAAAGGUUUGUCAGUAAAUCCCACAUGAGUCGGUAAGUAGCAUAAUCAACAUAUGGAGAAGUUAUGGAGUUGUUCAUACAAAAAUACUCAUGGUAUUCAUUAAAAAUUACUCUUUUUUUAUUUUUCUUAUAAAAUCUGGAUUUUGUAUCCUACAAGUCUUUCGGAUGUCUGAAAUUCAGUUAUCAAUCAAACCUCUUCGAAUAAUUAAUCAAUCCACUAUCCAAUCAAGAACGAGAUAUGGGAAAUCUUAAAAGUUUUGGAUAUCCGUUUGAUACACAGUCGAAUAUGACUCUUCCAUGAGCCGGGUAUUACGUUAUUCUCCCUUCCACAUCCAUUAGGACAAAAAAAACAUUGGAAACGACAAUGGCUGUCACUGUAUCGACAAUAAACCCAUCUUCCACGCGAUUGUUACGGACAAUCUUUUCUUCUUCUUCACUUAUGUUUUGUCUUCUUGUCGCCAGUUAGGUCUCUGCAAAGCUAUAUAUAUAUAUAUAUAUAUA